rnacentral:rRNA from 1 species
UACGGGGGGGGCAAGCGUUGUUCGGAAUUACUGGGCGUAAAGGGCUCGUAGGUGGCCAACUAAGUCAGACGUGAAAUCCCUCAGCUUAACUGGGGAACUGCGUCUGAUACUGGAUGGCUUGAGAUUGGGAGAGGGAUGCGGAAUUCCAGGUGUAGCGGUGAAAUGCGUAGAUAUCUGGAGGAACACCGGUGGCGAAGGCGGCAUCCUGGACCAUUACUGACACUGAGGCACGAAAGCGUGGGGAGCAAACAGG